AUGUUCUUCGUGCUACUUGCAGCAUGGAAAAUGGGCGGUGCAGCCAGCUAGUGCAACGAAUGAAUGCACGCUUGCCAGCUAAACCAUCGUGUCAGCAGCUGAUCAGUGUGUGCAGUACUGCGCUCCUGUCCUCCUGAACGCAUCGCGAAGAGAUCCUGACGCGCACUUUGCGCGGUGGUUUGAACUCUGAACUGAACGAGCUCACCAAGGCAAAGCUGAGAGAGCUAGCCUGGGAUUGGGAAUGAAGGAAUGGAACUAUGGAGGGGAAGAAACAAACACUAGUGGACGGAGGAGGGCAAGUCGCCGCCAUGCGCGACCUGGCUUCGCCCCCGGAAAACUAUUGCUAGCUACGCCAGCCAGUCCAGCCGUGUUGGGUGGACUGUGGACCAGGCAGAGGCAGAGGCAGGCAGGCAUGCUUCAGACCGUCGUUUCCAUUGAAUAUAUGGAGCUCAUGUCAUAAUGGCUAGGUUGUCGGAAAGGCUAGAGGUGCAAUGGCGCAUGAAGAAUAUGCGCAUGAGGGUGAAAGCGAGCAGGGUUGACUGACUGACUGGCU
rnacentral:lncRNA from 7 species